rnacentral:rRNA from 1 species
UACGGGGGGGGCAAGCGUUGUUCGGAAUUACUGGGCGUAAAGGGCGCGUAGGCGGUUCGCUAAGUUGAAUGUGAAAACUCUGGGCUUAACCCAGAGCCUGCAUUCAAUACUGGCGGGCUAGAGUUCUGGAGGGGAUAGCGGAAUUCCUGGUGUAGCGGUGAAAUGCGUAGAUAUCAGGAGGAACACCGGUGGCGAAGGCGGCUCUCUGGACCGUAACUGACGCUGAGGCGCGAAAGCGUGGGGAGCAAACAGG